ACCAACCCAGAAGCUUUCUGGAUCCACAAACCCCACUUAUGGUUUUUAUGGAGGUUUAUUGGGGCAUGAUUGAUUAAAGCAUUGGACAUUGGAGAUAAACUUAAUCUCUAGCCCCUCUGCCUCCCCAUAGGUUGGGACUAGGGGUGGUGCUGAAAGUUGCAACCCUCUAAUCACUUGGUCUUUCUGCUGACUCACCCCCAACCUGAAGUUAUCUAAGAGCCCCAGCCACCAGUCAUCUCAUUGGCAUAAACUCAGGUAUGAUUAAAAGGAGCUUAUUAUGAAUGAUGAAGAUGCUCUUCUUAUACCUAUCCUUCAGGAAUUUACAAGGGUUUUAAGAGCUCAAUGCCAGGAACCAGAGAUGAAGACCAAAUAUGUAUUUCUUAGUGUAUCAUCAUAUCACAAAGUGUUCUAGGGUCUUAGAGAAAGAGGGUAGCUCUGUGGAGUCAAGAUUGUAGGUCUUGGAUUGAUAACUUUACUCAAAACCUCACAAAUAAAU
rnacentral:lncRNA from 10 species